GAUGAAGAACGUAGCGAAAUGCGAUAAGUAAUGCGAAUUGCAGAAUUCAGUGAGUCAUCGAAUCUUUGAACGCACAUUGCGCCCUGUGGUAUUCCGCAGGGCAUGCCUGUUCGAGCGUCAUUUCAACCCUCAAGCCUCGCUUGGUGUUGGGCCCUGCCCGCCGCGGCCGGCCCUAAAGAUAGUGGCGGCGCCGCCUGGCCCUCAGCGUAGUACAGCUCUCGCUCCAGGGUCCGGCGGCAGCCUGCCAGAACCCCCCAACUCUGUGGUUGCCCUCGGAUCAGGUAGGGAUACCCUCUGAACUUAAGCAUAUCAAUAAGCGGAGGA
rnacentral:misc_RNA from 1 species